CAAGAUGUUAUUUUUCCAUUGAUGUGCUAUACAGAUGCUGAUGAGGAACUUUGGCAAGAAGACCCUUACGAAUAUAUACGCAUGAAGUUUGAUGUGUUUGAAGAUUUCAUUUCUCCUACCACUGCUGCCCAGACACUUUUGUUUACAGCCUGUAGUAAGAGGAAAGAGGUACUGCAAAAGACUAUGGGAUUUUGUUACCAGAUUCUUACAGAACCAAAUGCUGACCCUCGAAAAAAAGAUGGAGCCCUGCAUAUGAUUGGCUCUUUAGCUGAAAUACUUCUGAAGGUAUUCUUUAGUGUGUUUGUAUGUGCAUGACUAUGCAAGUAGUUUUAAAAAAUAAAUAGCCA
rnacentral:lncRNA from 1 species